GACCCCGCACAAGCGGCGGAGCAUGCGGCUUAAUUCGAUGAUACCCGUAGAACCUUACCUGGUCUUGACAUGCCCGUCAUAGUUUUCCGAAAGGAAUUCGUCAGUUCGGCUGGACGGUGCACAGGUGCUGCAUGGCUGUCGUCAGCUCGUGUCGUGAGAUGUUCGGUUAAGUCCGGCAACGAGCGCAACCCUCGUUCCUAGUUGCCAGCGGGUAAUGCCGGGGACUCUAGGAAGACAAACCUCGUGUAGAGGUGGGAAGGUGGGGACGACGUCAAGUCAGUAUGGCCCUUACGACCAGGGCUGCACACGUGCUACAAUGCCCAGCACAAUGGGAUGCAACGCCGCGAGGUUGAGCAAAUCCACAAAACUGGGCCCAGUUCGGAUUGGAGUCUGCAACUCGACUCCAUGAAGUUGGAAUCGCUAGUAAUGG
rnacentral:rRNA from 1 species